GCAGCAUUAAAGAGGUGUACAGGAGGCCUUUGACUUACUUUUUGCGUAGACUGCGGACCAAGAAAUUUGGGAAAAAUAUAAAGGGUUUCAUGAAUUGGGAAUUGCAAAGUAUUCUAUUUCAAAUAGAAAAUUCCUGGCUAUGCACCUCGAAUCAGCCGAAAAACUGUUCGAUGAUCGGAGAAAAUUUUGACGAUAAUUUUUGGAUAGGCAUCCUAUGUUGAAUCUUUACUGUACUGAAAUCAUUGGUUCUAAAAACGAAAAUAAAAUAUAAGGCGAAUUAUCAAUAUUAUAAAGAGGAAAUUAUGAAGGAAAUGCUGAGGGCAAGGAUUUCAAUUUUAUUUCCACGUGGAAUUGAAGGAAUAAAAUUAUAUCUUAUAAAAAUUUUAUUUUAUAAAUUCUUCUCGUUAUUAUAUUAUUUGUAUAAAUUC